UGGCUCAAAAGGUUAGGGCACCAGUCUCAUAUGCUGGAGGGUUGGGUUCAAACCCAG
rnacentral:tRNA from 1 species